rnacentral:tRNA from 1 species
GUGUUUGUAGUUCAACGGCUAGAAUGUCAGAUUGUGGUUCUGAAGAUGUGGGUUCGAUUCCCACCUAACACCCU